rnacentral:rRNA from 1 species
ACACCGGCGGCUCGAGUGGUAACCGUUAUUAUUGGGUCUAAAGGGUCUGUAGCCGGCCGGAUAAGUCUCUUGAGAAAUCUGGCAGCUUAACUGUCAGGCUUUCAGGAGAUACUGUCUGGCUCGAGGCCGGGAGAGGUGAGAGGUACUUCAGGGGUAGGGGUGAAAUCUUGUAAUCCUUGAAGGACCACCAGUGGCGAAGGCGUCUCACCAGAACGGCCCUGACGGCAAGGGACGAAAGCUAGGGGCACGAACCGGAUUAGAUACCCGGGUAGUCCUAGCCGUAAACGAUACUCGCUAGGUGUCGGCCACGGUGCGACCGUUGUCGGUGCCGUAGGGAAGCCGUGAAGCGAGCCACCUGGGAAGUACGGCCGCAAGGCUGAAACUCAAAUGAAUUGACGGGG